CAUAUUUUGCGUUCUUGCCAGAAGAGGUCCAAACCUCAGUAACUUAUUGCUUCAGCCAAAAGAAGUCUAUAAAGAGUCAGUUUACUUAUAGAAAUCCUGUUGAUACUAUUUUUUUACCUGAGCAAAACAAACAUAUUUUUCUGAAAGGAAAAAACACCCUUUGGCCGAACUGUCAGAUCUCUGCAGUCUAAAAGUUCAGGCAGCUUUUCUUUGGGCAAUAUUAGAGCCACAAUGGGCUGUUCCACGCAACGCUUUGUGUACCAACCUUUGCAAUCUUUGUUACAAAAGGAAAAAUGGCAUUAAUCUCCAGCAGAUACCACCCGCAAGGUAAAAAGAUGUCAUCAGAGCUAAGAAUGCUUUAAAACUACAAUGGAGGAAAAAUGGGUAGAAAAUACUUCUGAAAAGACGUCUCCCACUGAUAAAAAGGAACUGUUGAAUCACAGCCUGAACCUCUGAUCGAUCUCCUGAGGCAAGCACUGAGUCAGUCACAGGACCACAGGUGAAGGCAAUUCACCUGUGUGAACAGAAGGGGUGUAGCCUGGCUGCACCUCUCCUAGACCUAGAUUUAAGGGCUGACUGCCACCAGGAAAGGAUCUGUUCCUGGAGAUCAUUCCCUUUGGAGUUUUUCUGUGAGCCCAGGAUACAGCAGUGCGCACAAGAUCUACGGGCAGUUAUCCUAGCUGAAAAUCAGAGCCAAGCUGCGGAAUGAAGACAGGAAAGCCCACUUCACAGAGGACAGGGAUGAAACCUCAUAAGUCAUCUGUCAGGGGGAGCUGAGCCCCAGCACGAUGUGAUGUGGAGGUGUGGUACGUGACAUCUGGGCACUCCCACUGCGCUGCUGGCUGCAGCCAUCUGAACGGAUGAAAUAAACCUCAGAGACAGCACAAUUAUGCACAUUUUAAGAUACAGAGAUUUAUAAAGCAUGAAGAAAAUUAUACUUUGAAGAUCUUUGCAGAGCUGUGAUUGUAAGAUCUACGGAGGGAUAUAUGCAGCUGAUGUGUCCCUAUGGUUUGUAUUUCUUAGGGGCAAACCCCCGUACUUGCUCAAGAAAAGUAGCAGCACAUGCUGCUUGAAUAUCCAUCUUCAUGGGACAGUAUUUGUGGAAGAAAGUGUGGUAAAGAUGCUAGAAAAAAAGCUCAAAAAAUGGUGGGGAGUUGGCAGGUGGCAGCUGCUGCUUGGGGACUGGUUGGGCAUCGGUUGGUGGGUGGUGAGCCGCUGCUUGUGCAUCAAUAGUUUUGUGUGUGUGUAUAUAUAUUAUAUUUUAUAUUAUUAUUACUAUUAUUUUUUUACUUUGUAUUUUCUGUCUUGAUACAUAGUUUUUAUUUCAACCUGUGAGUUCUCAUUUUUUUUUCCCUUGUAUAUCCUUACCUGACUACAGAAAAGAAAAGAAUAUUCUGCUUUCUGCAGCUCCACAAGCAAAUCCCCAGUAGCGAUACCACCACUGCAGCCUUAGGCUUUUUGUCUGCUACUGACCUGUCUCUCUGUUAUGUUGGUAGAAAGGUUUUGAGGGGCAACUUUAUCAGAUUUAGGCAGCAUUGCCCUCAUACAAAAGAUCAGCUAGGGUUGGACUGUUAAAGGGAUAUUGAUAGGUCCCUGAGUGCAGUGUCUCUUACAGAGCAGGGUUAGUUCUACCCAGACCUUCCCAACAGAUGGCUGUAGGGGCAUGCAUGAGCAGCUGCUGGAGGCCAUCUCCUCUUAAGUAAGAUGGAGUGUAAUUGGAGCUACAUCCCAGCAGCUCAGGCAUGACUGCUUGGAGAGGCUAAGAGACUGGAGAUAACACCUCAAAGGCCAGAGAGAAAAGCUGCUGUUCACCUCUCUGACAGACUGUGUUGCAUAUUGAGGUAUGACAGUAAACUUUCAAAACAAGCGUUUGAAAGUACCUUUCUGCUGCUCAUAAUCUGUCCUUUACCCCUUUAUGACCCAUAGAGGCUGUAUGAUGAAGGACUUUGCCACUCUAACCAACAAAUACGGAGUAGAAAACUGUAAAAUCAAGGGGAAAGAUCAAAAAGUUGAAGAUUCUUUUUUAUUGCUGUUUUCUGGCUAGUAAGGUUUUUUGGUGUAUUAUUCCCCAGACAACUAGAAUGUACAAACAAUGAAAAAGCCACGGACAGUUUUUUCCAGAAAUGUUUUCUGUCUUCUAUCUCCCAUCCCAUGCUCAGCUUCCCCAGUGGCAUACAACCGUUGCCCCUGCUGAAAGACUGUGGAGUUAACAGCUGAGCUGUACAUCCCUCUGUCUGGGUGGGUGGACAGUUGGAUCUCAGAUGGAUGAAAACUCAUUCCUAUGGUGAAACAGGAAAGGGUCAAGGUUGCUUCAGUCCCUUCCUGUUGGUUUUCCUCGUUCAAAACAGGGAAACUCAGAUCCGUCUGGGGAAUGACUUUUAGCAAAUAGUAGUAUUUGUAAGGUAACGUCUGAUACGUAUUGUAACAGCUGAUGGUUCUGUAUUUCCUCAAGGCGUUUGACUGUUUUCAAGUCAUUGUUAUGAAGAACGUUUGCAGAAAAAACCUUGGCACUUGAUCUGAUUUCUCACAUUUCCCCCUCUGAACUCCACGCCCCUGAUGAAGAACCAGACAGGAACGGGACCGGCUGCUCUGUAUGGAGGAGGGCUACAGAGCAGUCUGUGAGAUGGUUCGCAUCACCACUUGCUGUACUGAAGGCAGCAGACAUAGAUGUUAAGCUCAGUGAAAAGAAACUGCAAUGCAGUGCAUCAGCAUCGGGAACAAUAAACAUAAAUCUGACACCUAAUAGUUCUUUCAGAGAAUUGAUUUAAAGUCUGGAUUAUUUCCCAUCCCGGGCAUGCAUCAUAUCCCCCAGCAGCAAACUGAAGGAUGUACCGUGACCCUAGUUACUACAGAAAUGUUCAUGGAUCAGAGACCCUGCAGUCAACCUUCUUGUUCUGACCAAUCAUUAACCAGGAGGAACAUUGUGGAGCUGCCGCUGCUUUUUCCUGAGUUACUUUAACAGACUGACCACAGGCAUGUUCCUUCGUCCUUAGAAGAGUUCCAGAAGAUUAGUCAGCUAAACCUGACAAGGCUUCUGGGAAGCUGGAAAGGACUUGGCUCAGCAUAUUAGGAACUAAGUGAUGAUGACAACCCUGUGGAUUUGUUCACUCCAUCCUAAAGAGGACUUCCCGUCAUAGUACUUUGUGCAUGGAUUUAGGAAAAUUUGAAUGAUUCAAGUAGAGAUCCAUGCGUCUCUCUGGCAUGUACUCCCCGAGGGAGCUGCAAUCAAAACUCCAGGGAUGGAAAGCCAGAGACAGAACCACAUGGAUGAAGCUCUGCAUUGCUCGAGAAUACCUCCUUCAGACACAUCAUCUUCUUCCCCUGCACUUGUCUUUCACGUACUUGAUUCUGGCAGUGGCAUUAUGAAGAACUACAGGACUGAAGCAGUAAUGACACUGCAUUCCCUGCAGAACAAAGAGCUGCUUCUGCCACGCUGUGCGUUGUGUUCCAUGACAGGCUUAUCCAGCAGAACCAGGGAAUAACCUAACCGGACCGAGACUGCAAAGAAGGAUCAAGUGGAGGAGAGCUGCACUAAUCAGAAGACACGCUGUCUGGGAAGCAAGCCCAUUUUGUUCUUCCAGAAUCCCUCCCACUGCAAGCACCAGACCUCAAAAUGACCCAGAGAAAGCCUCUCCAAUCCAAGUAUGAGUGUUUUGGAGAACUAUCGUUUGAAGAAUGCAGCUGCUUUUCACUGGUUGGUAUCUACAUGUGUAUGGAGUUCUGUGCAGUGGUUGAAUGUGCAGCGCUUCGAGACCUUUCGGUACGCGGGGAGAUUAAGGAACCACAGAGCUUGAGAGAGAGGAGUUUGCAUCCCUUGUGAGAAUUCUGAUAUCCCUGUGUUCAUAUAUGUUGAUAUUCUCUUCUGAAUGGUGACCUGUUUACGUUGGAUGGAGCCUAAAGACCCAAAGACCCUGGAUAUCCUUGGACUGAGUUGCUUAAGGACACGUUGCUUUCCAAAGACCCUGAAGAAUGGUGUGCUACCAAGGAUUUUUCAGUCCCAGCUGGCAGCGGAGGGGCGGUCUGACAAAAUGGCACCUGACAUGGAACUGUGGAUGAGGAGAAGGUUUCUGCUGUGAACCACAUUUGCUCUUGAUCUGAGGGGAUACAGGUGCUACUACAGUCAUCUUCUCAUCUCCUCCUCCACACAGCUUUCCUCCCUGGAAGUUGGAACACAAUCAGCGGAGUUAAUAUGGGUGAAAAUAAAGGGAAAACUGUGUUUUUUUUUUUUUUCCCGGGAUUUGCAGAUGCUGUGACAGGCUGCCUUGGUUAGGAAACAUCAGAAGUGUAAUCAUAUUAAUAGAAUCAUUUUCUUAUGCAUGUGGAAAUGGAGAUGAUGUGUCAUUUACAAGUGAAUGAAGACUCAACACUGGCAACUGCUGGACUGCAUAAUAUGGUCAUAAAAUGCUUCAGUUAUAAUAAGUCUAAGAAAUUAUUGCACAGCUGUAACACAACUGUGGAGAUUAGUAGAGAGUUUCAAUAGAUUUUUAGGUUCUCUCUUUUUAAAAAUACCUUUCAUCCUCAAUGCAGCCUGAUUGCAUAUGGUAUCUGGCAUGAAGGCAAGAAGCAACUACAGCAAAGUCUUGCAGAGAAAAUGCUAGCAUUUUUGGAUGUGCUGACAGUGUAUUUCCAGGAGGUGAAGAAAUUCCAGAAGGCAAAUGAUGGGAUGAAAGACAGGAUCAUGGUAUAGACUUUACUCAGAGAUGGAAAUCUGAAGAAAUCAAUUCCUCCCUUCCCUGAGAAUUUAUGACUAUAUUUUUCACAUUCUCUUGGCUAUUUCUAUCAGAGUUUGAUCACAGGUAGAGACAAAGAGUCUGUGCAGCCAUCUGUCCUGCUGUGAUGGCUUGUGUUGCAUUACUCCUGCCCUCAGGUAAAAGCAAGAUCUAGCUGUUCAUUGCAGGGGAGUUGGACUAGAUGACCUUCCAACUCAAAUGAUUCUAUCAUUCUAUUAAACUGAUGACUUGGGACACUAGUCCCAUAUGACUGGGACAAAGACAUCUGGGAGGGAUAUGGUGGGUAGAUCUGCCCGUACUGAGAAUAUUUUAUUUCCCUCCUUACUCAAGGCAAGAAAAUUACUUCCGAAGACAUAUAUUCAUUCAUAUACAACUUCCUCUUGGCAGUUAACUGAAUUCUGGUCCUGGCUGACGCAGUAGGUUCUCCCAGCCAUGGAAAAUCCCUGAAGUGUAUUCUUAAAUGUGUCUCCAAGGGAAGGAGACAUGACAGCUGAAGAGGCACACAAGCAAUAAUUUGACUUUUACAGGGAGAAGAAAAGAAGGCAUCAUUGUGAAGAAGUCCCAGUUUUUAUAUGCAUUAUAACCAGCACUCCCAGGCUAUCAGCACACACAAAUAAACCUAUGUGAAUUGCACAGUAAAGCUUUAGUGGUAAGAUCUGCACUAGUUUGGUCAUAUCCUUACCUGAUAUUAAUCAAAACUGUACAGAGCAUAUUCUCUAGCUGUGCAAAUUUACUCUGGUGGAAGAUUCAGCCCCAUGUUUUUUGCUUUGCUUUGAGAUUAUGACAUGUUAGAUUUAUUGGCUCAUUUGCUACAGUAAAUGAGAGUUUCUGGGCUGAGACAUUCAAUAGCAGAGUGGUGAAUGGACUGGCUGAGGAACAGGACAGGAAUAAAGACAGAACAUUUGUUCUGAAAGACAGAACCCAGUCCUCACGUCUCUCCUAGUUCAUCAUUACUGCUUUCCACAUCCUGUGAAAAUACUCUGCUUUAAGACUUGAAACGAGCAAAGGCAUUUGUUCCUUAAAUGGGAAGUGUUGUAAUGGAAUGGAUUUGACAAUCUGUGGAACACACCGUAGAGUUUUAUUGAAGUGGACUAGCUGAAUGGAAAAGGAUUAUCUAAUUUCUGUGCUAAGAACUGAAGCGUGAAGUGUGCAACAGAUUACAAAGAUGCUUGUAUAGGGUAUGACAGUGCUUGGUUUUACAGUUACCUGCUGCUUUGUAUGGAGAUCUCCAGACGUGAGCUGGGAAUCAUGAGAAUUUGAGGAACUUGUGCCAGAAAGCGUAGGCUCCUGAAAGAAAUGAUUAAAAAAUAUCUUACUCAUUUAUUAUGUACUUAAGAUCAUAAGUAUAUAUAGACAGAUGAGACGUGAUGACUUUGUGUGUGAGAAUAAUAUGAAGUGGAGGAGCACAAUGACCAUGUGUAAUAAAUGGGAAAAAUAUUUUUCUCAUUUAAUUCCUGACUCAGAAUUUAAAUUUUUUGGUAGAUCAUUAACAAGUGGCCACUUCAGUAAGGAUGAAAUCUGCGUAAAACAAGUUUCAGAGGAGGAGUGAACAAUGGGUAUGCUCUUAAAGAAUAUGUAAAAAUGUACCACUCACAUGAAACGCCCAGGUACCAGCCUAAGGGCACUGCUAGCAGGGUUCCUGAGUAGUGCUGGAAUCUUCACCUGUGAAGUCUCCUUUGGGACUAUUCAAAGCCUGAUUGGACAAUGUAAUGAACCACCUGCUGCAGCUGACCCUGGUCUGACUGGGGCUGGAGUAGAGACA
ensembl:lncRNA